UACGUAGGGUGCGAGCGUUGUCCGGAAUUAUUGGGCGUAAAGAGCUCGUAGGCGGUUCGUCGCGUCGGCUGUGAAAAUCUGAGGCUCAACAUCAGGCCUGCAGUCGAUACGGGCAGACUUGAGUACUGCAGGGGAGACUGGAAUUCCUGGUGUAGCGGUGAAAUGCGCAGAUAUCAGGAGGAACACCGGUGGCGAAGGCGGGUCUCUGGGCAGUAACUGACGCUGAGGAGCGAAAGCGUGGGGAGCGAACAGG
rnacentral:rRNA from 1 species